GGACCAGAGACUGGCCUACUAGGGAACAUGCUGCAGCCCAAACCAGAAACAGCCCAAAUAUCCUUCCACAGGAGAAUGGGAAGAAAAAAGAAAAAUUAUAGCAGCUUCAUGCAGUGGGAUGCUUCUCAGGGAUGAAGGUGAAUCAUCUCACAGCUCCCUGUGACAGCAUAGCUCCUGCAAAAACUGAAAUGAACUAGAUGGGUCUAUGUUGUUAAGAGCUCCCAGUUUGCUUCCUCCUUCAUCGAACACCAGCUGGACACUUGGGUGUGAGCAUCAGCACUGGUAAAUCCAGCAGUGUGUGCUGUUCACAGCAGCUCGGCAGACACUGUUGAUCAAGUCUGAGGUCUUCUUGGUAACAUCUCUACAGAGCCAUCAAGUUUCAUAGGUGCUGUUGCUAAAGCAGGACUCAGCUCACCUGGAAUCACCCGGACGAAGGGGACUACUUCUAUGCAGUACAGGAGUUUCCUCACUGAGAAUGUUAUGAAGCUUUUGUUUUCAAUUCUGAGCUUUUUUCUGGGUAUGCAGCAGGUGGGUGGUUGCUGGCAUCUGGAUUAUGUGCUAACACCUAGGCUGACAGGGACAGAAGUGGACUGUGGGUGUGCGCUGAGCAGAGGACAAGAUUCUCUGGGAUCUGGAGAUUUGAAGCUUUCUCCCUAUGAACAGUGGACACCCAGGCCCCUAAUUUGGCCCAGAGCAUUCCUAGGCUGAGGGAUCGUUGGAGAAUGCCUAGGAAGCCUGGGCACAUUUUCUGCCAAUAGGAGCACCUAGGCCAGGGUCGCUCAGGGAGACCCUGCUGUCAGUGACAUGGACAUGUAGGAGGGCCAGGUCUGCAGGACCUGACAAGCCUCUGAAAGCAGAGGGAGCAACAAAAACGGUGACUGCUACAAUGGACUGCAUUUGUGUGCCUCCUGAAAAUUCCUGUGUUGAAGCCCUCACCCCCCAGUGUGAUGGUAUUUGGAACUGGGGCCUUUGGGAGAUAAUCCGGUUUGGAUGAGGUCAUGAAGUUGGAGCCCACCUGAUAAAAUUCAUGCCCCCCCCCUUUAAAAGAUUUCAUUUAUUUAUGUGACAGAGAGAGACACAGUGAGAAAGGGAACACAAACAGGGAGUGAGAGAGGGAGAAGCAGGCUCCCCACGGAGCAGGGUGCCUAAUGCGGGGCCUUAAGCAGGGACCAAUCUCCUAGGAUCAUGACCUGAGCCGAAGGCAGACGCUUAACGACUGAGCCACCCAGGUGUCCCAGAAUUCAUCCUUUAUAAGAAGAGGAAGAGACCAGAGUCCCCCCACCCCUGCCAUGUGAGAGUACAGUAAGAAGACAGCCAUCUGCAAACCAGGAAGAGAGAGCUCACCAGACACGGAACCUGCCAGCACUGCGCACUUGGACUUCCCAGUCUCCAGAACCGAGAGAAAUGUCUGUUGUCUAAGUCACCCAGACUGUAGCAUUUCAUUAUAGCAGCCUGAGCUAACACAGCUACCACUGAGGGCCUGGGCUUGCUUUCAAUUUUUCUGGCACUGCCUAAGCCCCUGAUAUUUUGUAACCUUGUGGAGGGAGGACGGAGCCCCACUAAUGGCUACAGUUGAAUUUCUUCCCAGCGUGGCAGUUUGGGGCACAGUAAAUUCCAUUUGAUUGAGAAAAAAUAAGGAAUGUGUCAUUUGGUGUACAUUUUGUAACAAAAAACUGGUAAACAACAUAAUUAUCAAGUUAUUGGAAUAUUUUGCGGCCUUCUCUUUUUUGCAUUUGUGGCUCCUCUGUCCAUUGAAUUCUAGGCAUUUUCCUUGUCAGGUUUCUCAAUGUCUCCAGGCUUGGAAUUUUUUUUUUUUUAAGAUCUUCUUCAUUUAUUUGACAAAGAGAGACAGAGAUCACAAGUAGGCAGAGCAUCAGGCAGAGAGAGAAGGGGAAGCAGUCUCCCUGCUGAGCAGAGGGCCACACAUGGGGCUUGAUCCCAAGACCCUGGGAUCAUAUUUGCGCCGAAGGCAGAGAUUUAACCCACUGAGUCACCCAGGUGCCCCAACCAUAGUUCUUUUAAAGCCCUUGCUUGUUAAAGCAAUAUUGGGAUCACUUGUGUGUCUAUUUUUACUGCCUAUUUUUCUCUUGGUUUUCAUUUUCUUUCUUUUGUUUACUGAUUUUGAUUUGAUAUUAAGCACUGCUUAUAAAAGCUGUGGCUUGUCGAGAUGAUGUCUUCUAUUACAGAGUGUUCACCUUUUUUCUGCAAGGCAGAGAGAAUAGAAGCUGAGCACCUUGACCUAGUUGGUGACUUAGCUAUCCUAAGGCUGAAUUGCAGUUAUUUAUUUAGUUAAUGUUUAAGGCUGUAGCCCAUCUUUUAUUUGUUCUUGUUCCUAGUAUAUAGUUCCCAAGACUUUGAACUAACAGCUGGUGAGUUCACUGCAAUCCUUCCCCUGGAGGGUCCUUAACUCUAAUCUGUAGUGUCCAAAACUUUGAAAGGCUGUGGAAAACAUUAUUCAUUUCAGAGGCUUCUGCCUGCAGCCUUAUGUGCCUUCAAAAUUUGGUAAAUGUCUUGAAGGGAUACUGUAGUUUUGAGACCUCUUAAGUCUCCAGUUUUGUCACCCUAAUUCUAUGGCAUUCUGCCUGAGCCAAGCUCAUAUUCUUAGCCUUUUGCCUAAGCCCAGGGUCAGCAAAUGCCUCUGGAAAAAAAGCAGCUUCAGAUCAUAAGAUCACUUUCUUAUGUUCUCCCUUUAGAAUUUUAACUAAGUUAGCUCCAUGGUAUGAGUUGCUUCCUCAGAUCUCCAAUGAUUAUAAACAUUGAUUCAUCUGGUUUUUCUAGUUAUUAUUAUUAUUAUUAUUAUUUUUAA